rnacentral:rRNA from 1 species
GGAAUUGCGCAAGAAAAAAACUUUUCGUUUUACGACCUCAACU